AGCGAACGCUGGCGGCAGGCCUAACACAUGCAAGUCGAACGAACCUUUCGGGGUUAGUGGCGGACGGGUGAGUAACACGUGGGAACGUGCCUUUAGGUUCGGAAUAACUCAGGGAAACUUGUGCUAAUACCGAAUGUGCCCUUCGGGGGAAAGAUUAAUCGCCUAGAGAGCGGCCCGCGUCUGAUUAGCUAGUUGGUUGAGGUAAUGGCUCACCAAGGCGACGAUCAGUAGCUGGUCUGAGAGGAUGAUCAGCCACAUUGGGACUGAGACACGGCCCAAACUCCUACGGGAGGCAGCAGUAGGGAAUCUUGCGCAAUGGGCGAAAGCCUGACGCAGCCAUGCCGCGUGAAUGAUGAAGGUCUUAGGAUUGUAAAAUUCUUUCACCGGGGACGAUAAUGACGGUACCCGGAGAAGAAGCCCCGGCUAACUUCGUG
rnacentral:rRNA from 1 species